AGUAGAAUUGCUGGGUCAUAUGGUGACUUUAUGUUUAGCCUUUUGAGGAACUGUCAAACUGUUUUGCAAAGUAACUGCACCAUUUUACGUUCCCACUAGCAAU
rnacentral:pre_miRNA from 1 species